rnacentral:lncRNA from 1 species
AGACUCCCUUUUUUUGUAGCACUGGAGAACUUCAUUGAACAGUGAAGAACAAAAUCUUGGAUUCUAUUUAGUCUCGGGCGAGACUGUGGAAACAGAGACAGGGUAGUCUGACCUUGGAAAAGGGCUAUAAUCCAGUGUCUUUAUAGAGAUGAGGAAGCAGCUUUGACAAGCAGAAGUUAAACCCUAGAUGGUCCAGGACUAUCUAGCCAUUGCUUAAUCUUCUUAAUAUGGUAAUCAGGGUAGCCGGUUUUGGAAAGUUAUUUACUGUUGUUGUUGCCUUUGACAAGCAGCAGGGAGAAGAAUUGUCUACAGACCUGAGAUAUUAAAGAAAGCUUAUUUCAAACUGUGGACAGAAAACACAGGACCAGAAAAGAGCAGGAAGUCUUUCCAAAAG